rnacentral:rRNA from 1 species
CCUACGGGAGGCAGCAGUGAGGAAUAUUGGUCAAUGGGCGCGAGUCUGAACCAGCCAAGCCGCGUGCGGGAAGACGGUUCUAUGGAUUGUAAACUUCUUUUGUAGAGGAGCAAAAGUGCUCACGUGUCUUUUUCCGAGAGUACUGGAAGAAAAAGGAUCGGCUAACUCCGUGCCAGCAGCCGCGGUAAUAGGGAGGAUGCGAGCGUUAUCCGGAUUUAUUGGGUUUAAAGGGUGCGUAGGCGGAAGAUAAAGUUAGCGGUAAAAUUGAGAGGCUCAACCCGUGCGAGCCGUUGAAACUGGUUAUCUUGAGUGAAGAAGAGGUAUGCGGAAUGCGUGGUGUAGCGGUGAAAUGCGUAGAUAUCACGCAGAACUCCGAUUGCGAAGGCAGCAUACCG